rnacentral:rRNA from 1 species
ACUGAGCGGCGGACGGGUGAGUAACGCGUGGGUAACCUGCCUCGUACAGGGGGAUAACAGUUGGAAACGGCUGCUAAUACCGCAUAAGCGCACAGUACCGCAUGGUACGUGUGAAAAACUCCGGUGGUAUGAGAUGGACCCGCGUCUGAUUAGGUAGUUGGUGGGGUAACGGCCUACCAAGCCGACGAUCAGUAGCCGACCUGAGAGGGUGACCGGCCACAUUGGGACUGAGACACGGCCCAA